AUACGGAGGAUGCAAGCGUUAUCCGGAUUUAUUGGGUUUAAAGGGUGCGUAGGCGGGGCAGCAAGUCAGUGGUGAAAUCUUUCGGCUUAACCGAAAAAUUACCGUUGAAACUGUUGUCCUUGAGUAUAUUUGGAGUGGGCGGAAUGUGUCAUGUAGCGGUGAAAUGCUUAGAUAUGACACAGAACACCAAUCGCGAAGGCAGCUCACUAAACUAUAACUGACGCUGAAGCACGAAAGCGUGGGGAUCAAACAGGAUUAGAUACCCUGGUAGUCCACGCCGUAAACGAUGAUCACUCGAUGUUGGCGAUACACUGUCAGCGUCUGAGCGAAAGCAUUAAGUGAUCCACCUGGGGAGUACGAUCGCAAGGUUGAA
rnacentral:rRNA from 1 species